ensembl:lncRNA
UUCGCGAACACAAUUCAUAAAGUGUACGAACCUGAACCAUGCAUCAUUUUGACAGACGUGAUGCUGAGGCCAGACUGCAAGGAGUCAUCCACGCCGAUCACCAGGCGUGUUUUAACAACAGCGCUGGACACGCGUCAGGAGCGCCUGACUGGGGUGCUUUGGGCACAUACCCACGAUACUCUGUUAACGAACCGCACGCGAGUAUGGGCGUGGACGACGUGGGGUGGGAGCGACCCAGCCCUCGUGCCCAAAACCACCACAGCAAGCAUUCGAGCCAGGUGGACGACCCAGAUGGAGAACCCCUGGAGAUCGAUAGCGACGACCCGGAGCUGACCAGGAAGCGCAACGAGCUCAGAGCAAUAGAGGAGCGAAUUGUGCAGAAGAAAGUUGCCAUUGCAUUAAAAAAUGUCGAGCCAUUUGUGACAAUGACAAUUCCAGGCUUCUGUGAUCAGGAGUCCUCUACAUAUGAAGGUGAAACUCUUCGAAACAGAGUGAAUGUAAUUCUGCAGCAACGGCAAUCUCUCGGUAUUCUAUCGAAGGUCCAGUCACCAAAGAAAUCGCCAAGCCUGAGAAAAGAGAGUUUGCUGCAAGAAGACCAUCCUCUGAAAUGCAGAGUCAAAGCAUUAAUGAAGAAGAGAUGCCCCGAUCCCUGUGUUCUACGAACACCUGCAAAGGUCUUUGAUGGCGUUUCCUCAGCCAAGGAGCUGAAUAAUGCUGAUGAGGGCUUCCAGCGCUUCCUCAGCAUCCUCAACAAAGGAGUUGACAUGGACUUGCUCAGCAGGAUAGUCAAUGACGACAGCGAGGGGCUCCCGAACAUUCAUUCUGAGAGGAACAAGCCGAGCAAAAGCCAGCGAUCGAACAGCGGCACCUCCCGGCCGAGCCCCAGUCGGGACGGCAGUGGAGAGGACAGGACUGCAACGAGGAGCCGAGAAAGGUCCCACAACGAGGGAGUGUCCCUGCCCUAUGAAGACAGGAGGAAGCGUGACGGAGGAGACACCUCUUAUGGGUCCAGUAGACGGUCAAAGUCUCCUAUGUCGGAGAAGAAGAAGAAGAAAGAAGAAGAAACGAACCUAAAGUUGGACGAGCGGCAUGAACAUCUGCAGAAUGUUCUUAAAACUCUGGGCUUGGACCUAGAAGUGGAAGAGAUGAGCAAACUAACAGACCGAACUCAGGAGAGGCUGUACGGGAAGAAGCACGAAAUCAGAAAUGAGCAGGAGAGGGAGCAGAUGGCCUCCUCUUCCUCCUCGUCUUCAUCUUGCUGCUCCUCCUAUUCCUCAAGAUCAACCUCUAGAAGCUGCAGUCCCAGUCCCUCUCGCCACCGUCGCUCCCACAGCAGCGACUCCAGUGACUCCAGAGACUCCAAACCCAGGCUAAAACAAGGAGAGGGCCACCAAGGCAAAGAGCCCCCGAGGCUUGGAGACACAGAGGACAAAGCCUCUGCUUAUCCCCAUCCCUCAUAUCACGCGUAUCCCCCUCCCCAUCCCCCCCCUGGUGCUUUUUCUUCAUUUCCAGCUGCACCUUUGCCUCCGUACUCUCAGUCUACUUCUCUCCACAGUGGUGAAUGCAGCACCGGCUCACCUUCGUAUUGGACUUACAGUCAGGGAGCCCUUCCUGCUCCUUUUUAUUCCAGUGGCUUUUCUAACCCACAGAGCACCUACCAACACUUCCCCCCCACUAAGACAGUCUAUCCGCAAAACAGUAACUUUCAAGACCAUAACUUGCUGGUGAACCCAGACCUGUCUACGAGCGUAGGCCAGAGUGGGUCCACCUCUGGCGCCCGCUGCCUGCAGGCCGUCGGCAGCCGCCCGGCCUCCCAGCGGACGCCGUAUAUAACGCAGCUGACGGGCACGCGGGCGAAGCGGUACCGCCCGAGCCGCGCGCAGAGGAGAUUGGACAGUUGGAGGAGAAAACAACAACAGCUCUACGAAAACCGGAGACAGGAGCCAGUGCCCACCCUGAGAAUGCCCAAAUCAGCCCAGAAGGGUGAAGCCAAGCCGCUGGAGGAGCUUAAACAGCUAACGGAGGAGGAAAUAAAGGCGAACCUGAGGAAAAAGCUUGAGGCAUUUAACCAAAUGGCGAGGCAGAAGGUUUCUCAAGCAGCCUCGUCCCAGCUGCUAACAUCUGUGGAGUGUCAAGAUUAUCUGUGA